UUACGGCCAUAUUACAUUGAAACAUUGGUUCUCGUUCGAUCACCGUAGUUAAGCAACCACGAGCCUGGUCGGUACCUAGUUGGGUGACCGCGUGGGAAUAUCAGGUGAU